UUGGGUCUCGCGCAAUGGAUCCCUGCGAACCGUGUCAGGUCAGGAAUGAAGCAGCACUAAGCAGGAACUUUCAUGUGCCGUGAGGGUGCCUG
rnacentral:SRP_RNA from 1 species